AACCCCAAAUGUUAUUGUGUUUUUGAUUGAGUGUAAUUUUAAAAAUUGGUAACCAAUUUAGGAUAUUUUAAAGAAAUUAUUGAUAAAAAAAAAUCAAACUAAUAUACUGACCAAAAAUUGUUGACACAUUUUAAUAAGUAAUCAAUUUUAGAUUCUUUUGCAUAUCUAUCAAGACUUGACUAUAUUUUUCAAUUAUUUUUCAAUUAAUUCUUUUAAUUAUUUGGUUAUUUUUCUCAAUUCAAAUAUUAUUAUUUUGGUAAUAUUUUAUUCAAACAUAACAUUUGAUAAAUUGUUUUUUGACUUUGUGGGCUUAAACAUUUUUUAAAUUGUAUAUAAAUUCGUUCAUCUGAUCCAACAAAUUAUCACAAAACCAAAAAUCAUAUAUAUAAUCUGAUAAAUAUGAGUAAUUCGGUUUUUAUAGUUUCUAUCGUUUUAAUGACUAUAGUUUCCCCAAUUUUCAAUGCUAAAAUGGUGUAUAGUAUCACUUGUGGAAUGGCGAAAGAUUCGAUGAGACCUUGUUUGGUCUUGGCACCAGGUCAGGUGCCAACAAGACCUUGUUGUGAUGCUCUUCAAGCCAUAGAGUUCCAAGCAACGACGAAACAGAUUCGACAAUUUUAUUGCAACUGCUUUAAAAAUGUUAUCCAUUCAUCUCCAUAUGUAAAACUUAUACCCUUGCCUGAACUCUGUCGGAUUCCUAUAACUGGGAUUUUAACCCCACCUCAUGGUUGUGAUAGCAUCCAAGUCUGAAGCAAAGAAGAAGAAGAAUAUGCAAGGAGCAAGAAGAUUAAUGCGAUUACUAAUGUAUCAAAAUAUUUUCCAAAAAUAAGAUAACAUUCCGUCUUUUUAAAUCA